GCAGUCGAGCGGUAAGGCCUUUCGGGGUACACGAGCGGCGAACGGGUGAGUAACACGUGGGUGAUCUGCCCUGCACUUCGGGAUAAGCCUGGGAAACUGGGUCUAAUACCGGAUAUGACCUCAGGUUGCAUGACUUGGGGUGGAAAGAUUUAUCGGUGCAGGAUGGGCCCGCGGCCUAUCAGCUUGUUGGUGGGGUAAUGGCCUACCAAGGCGACGACGGGUAGCCGACCUGAGAGGGUGACCGGCCACACUGGGACUGNGACACGGCCCAGNCUCCUACGGGAGGCAGCAGUGGGGAAUAUUGCACAAUGGGCGAAAGCCUGAUGCAGCGACGCCGCGUGAGGGAUGACGGCCUUCGGGUUGUAAACCUCUUUCAGCAGGGACGAAGCGCAAGUGACGGUACCUGCAGAAGAAGCACCGGCUAACUACGUGCCAGCAGCCGCGGUAAUACGUAGGGUGCAAGCGUUGUCCGGAAUUACUGGGCGUAAAGAGUUCGUAGGCGGUUUGUCGCGUCGUUUGUGAAAACCAGCAGCUCAACUGCUGGCUUGCAGGCGAUACGGGCAGACUUGAGUACUGCAGGGGAGACUGGAAUUCCUGGUGUAGCGGUGAAAUGCGCAGAUAUCAGGAGGAACACCGGUGGCGAAGGCGGGUCUCUGGGCAGUAACUGACGCUGAGGAACGAAAGCGUGGGUAGCGAACAGGAUUAGAUACCCUGGUAGUCCACGCCGUAAACGGUGGGCGCUAGGUUGUGGGUUCCUUCCACGGAAUCCGUGCCGUAGCUAACGCAUUAAGCGCCCGCCUGGGG
rnacentral:rRNA from 1 species